rnacentral:rRNA from 1 species
UACGUAGGGUGCGAGCGUUAAUCGGAAUUACUGGGCGUAAAGCGUGCGCAGGCGGUUCGUUGUGUCGGCGGUGAAAGCCCCGGGCUUAACCUGGGAAUGGCCGUUGAAACUGGCGAACUGGAGUGUGGCAGAGGGUGGUGGAAUUCCGCGUGUAGCAGUGAAAUGCGUAGAGAUGUGGAGGAACACCGAUGGCGAAGGCAGCCCCCUGGGUCAAGAUUGACGCUCAUGCACGAAAGCGUGGGGAGCAAACAGG